rnacentral:rRNA from 1 species
UACGGAGGGUGCAAGCGUUAUCCGGAUUUACUGGGUUUAAAGGGUGCGUAGGUGGGUCUGUAAGUCAGUGGUGAAAUCUCCGAGCUUAACUCGGAAACUGCCAUUGAUACUAUAGGUCUUGAAUUAUCUGGAGGUAAGCGGAAUAUGUCAUGUAGCGGUGAAAUGCUUAGAUAUGACAUAGAACACAAUUGCGAAGGCAGCUUACUACGGAUUGAUUGACACUGAGGCACGAAAGCGUGGGGAUCAAACAGG